rnacentral:rRNA from 1 species
UGGGGAAUUUUGGACAAUGGGCGCAAGCCUGAUCCAGCCAUGCCGCGUGUGUGAAGAAGGCCUUCGGGUUGUAAAGCACUUUCGGCCGGGACGAAAUCGCUCGGGUUAACACCCAGGGUGGAUGACGGUACCGGAAUAAGAAGCACCGGCUAACUACGUGCCAGCAGCCGCGGUAAUACGUAGGGUGCAAGCGUUAAUCGGAAUUACUGGGCGUAAAGCGUGCGCAGGCGGUUUUGUAAGCCAGACGUGAAAUCCCCGGGCUUAACCUGGGAACUGCGUUUGGAACUGCAAGGCUAGAGUGCGGCAGAGGAAGGUGGAAUUCCUGGUGUAGCAGUGAAAUGCGUAGAUAUCAGGAGGAACACCAAUGGCGAAGGCAGCCUUCUGGGCUAGCACUGACGCUCAUGCACGAAAGCGUGGGGAGCAAACAGG